rnacentral:rRNA from 1 species
UACAGAGGGGGCAAGCGUUGUUCGGAAUUACUGGGCGUAAAGGGCGCGUAGGUGGCCUGUUAAGUCGAACGUGAAAUCCCUGGGCUCAACCCAGGAACUGCGUCCGAUACUGGCAGGCUUGAAUUCGGGAGAGGGAUGCGGAAUUCCAGGUGUAGCGGUGAAAUGCGUAGAUAUCUGGAGGAACACCGGUGGCGAAGGCGGCAUCCUGGACCGAUAUUGACGCUGAGGCGCGAAAGCCAGGGGAGCAAACGGG